rnacentral:rRNA from 1 species
UACGAAGGGGGCUAGCGUUGUUCGGAUUUACUGGGCGUAAAGCGCGCGUAGGCGGAUCGUUAAGUCGGGGUGAAAUCCUGGAGCUCAACUCCAGAACUGCCUUCGAUACUGGCGAUCUCGAGUCCGGAAGAGGUGAGUGGAACUCCUAGUGUAGAGGUGGAAUUCGUAGAUAUUAGGAAGAACACCAGUGGCGAAGGCGGCUCACUGGUCCGGUACUGACGCUGAGGUGCGAAAGCGUGGGGAGCAAACAGG